UAAAGAAAAUGAAACUGAAAUCAUCAGCUUCCAUCGAUUCCCCACAGAUGAUGCUAUGAGGCAAAAGUGGAUCAUUGCCAUAGCUCAUCCCAAUAGGAAUUGUAAAAAACAGGACCGUGUUUGUUCCAAACAUUUCGAAAAAGACUAUUUUAUAACCAUUGAUCAUAAAUGGCGCAGACUAAAACCUAAUGCUGUCCCCUCAUUACAUCUUCGUUCAGAGAUGAAUGUUAUAUCGACGACCUCUACUAGCUUCAAUGCUGUACCGCCAUCCAGUUCAAUCAGUAUGUCAGCAGUGCAACAGGAAACUGAUUUAAUAUAUCGGGUAUUUAAAUUAGAAAAAGAUAAUAAAAGGCUUCAGAAAAUUGCUAGACAACGAUUGUUAAAGAUAAAUUCUUUACGACAAAAAACCAGACGUUUAAAGAAAAAAAAUAUUGAUUUGCAUACCCGCUUAAUGGAUUUACUUAAAAAUGAGAGAAUAGAAGCAGAAAGUUUGCUGUUAUUGGAAUCUGUGAUGGAUAACCCGAUAAUAAAAAGAUAUUUGACAAAACAAAUGGGUGACAAUACGCGUAAAUUCAGCUUAGAAAUGAAAAAAUUUGCGGUAACGUUGAAUUACUUAUCACCACGUGCCUAUACUUUCUUGCGCAGCGAGUUAAAGGAUAUUUUACCUCAUCCAAAAACUAUUGGAAAAUGGUAUCAGACCAUCGACUGCAAUCCAGGAUUUACAGUCGAAGCCGUUGAUACAAUCAGGGAAAGAGUAAAAUUAAAAAAUGGGAAACCUUUAUAUUGUGCAUUGUCACUAGAUGAAAUGGCUUUGCGAAAAUUGGUUGAGUGGGAUGGAACUAAUUAUUUUGGCUUUGUUAAUAUCGGCUGUGAUCUUGAUUCCCAUGACAUACCAUCGCUAAUGAGCGAAAGAAGCCUUAGUGUUUAUUAUAACAGCCAUUAACGACACAUGGAAAAUCCCUGUUGGGUAUUUUUUGAUAAAUUCUUUUACCGCCCAACAGAAAGCAAUUCUAGUACUGCAAUGUGUAUCAUUAUUGGCUGAAACUGGAGCUAAUAUUGUAACUCUUACUUUCGACGGCGCUGCUACCAACAAAGCUAUGUCGAGUCAUUUGGGAUGUGAUUUAUUAAAUUAUUUUUUCAUUCAAUAUGAUCACAAAAUAUAUUUGUGGCCUGAUCCAUGCCAUAACAUAAAGUUAAUACGAAACACAUUCGGUGACAAAAAAGUCCUCAUAGAUCAUCAAGGCAAUAAAAUAUCUUGGUUUUAUAUUGUACUAUUACAUAAAAUUCAAAACAACGAAGGACUACAUUUAGGCACAAAAAUAAAAAAAGACCAUAUCGAAUAUGUAAAACAAAAAAUGAAGGUACGCUUAGCGACGCAAUUUUUAAGUGCAAGUGUUGCAGAUGCACUAGAAUUUUGUAGGGACAUGGGGAUCCCUGCAUUUUUGAGUUGUGAUGGGCACCAUCCAGUUCAUAAGAAUAUUUAAUAAUCUGUUUGACGUAAUGAACAGUAGAAACAUGAGAGCCAAAGGACGGAAACGGGCGCUAGCCAAAUUUAACGUGGAGGAAACAAAGAACUUUUUUGAAAACGUUGAAGUAUACAUUAAACAUUUGAAAUUCCUUGACGGUACAUUAGUAAUUGAUUCAAAUAGAUUAACUGGUUUUCGUGGUUUUAUUGUUUGCAUGAAAUCACUUAUUGCAUUAUAUAACACAUUGAUUGCCCAGGAAAACAGCACACUGAAUUACAUAUGUACUUACAAACUAAGCCAAGAUCACCUUGAAUUAUUUUUCGGAUCUAUUAGAGCAAAAUGCGACUUUAAUAACAAUCCAUCAGCACGUAUGUUUCGCGCGGCUUAUAAAAGAUUAUUAGUGCAUGCCCAAUUUAAAGAUAGUGCUACUGGGAAUUGUUUGCCAUUAGAAAAAAUUACAAUUCUCAAUGCUUCUGCAAUAAAUUCGACGACCGGAAACAGCAGACUCGUCGAAAGCCCUGAUGAUAUAACGAUGAAUCUGGAGAAUUUAGACGAUCACGAUUACAUUUUUCCAACACUGACCGAGUAUGCUCAUCAUGUUGUCGAGUAUAUAGCUGGUUUUGUUGUAAGGAAAUUAAAAAAACAAUUACAUUGCGAAACAUGUAUCCAGAGCACGUUAGAAAGUACAGCAAAUAAAAACACUUUUUCCUUGGUUUCUCACAAAAAUAGAGGAGGUUUAAUUCAACCCUC